ensembl:lncRNA
CUAGCAAGUGUUCUUAGAGCUUUCCUUUUUUUUUCCCUUCCUUCUCUUCCUUUUAGGUAAAAUAUUGCUACAUGUGUAAGUUUGGAGAGGAAAAAAAGAGUAAAAUCAAUAGCAAUCAUUAAUGACCUCUUCCCUAUGAUUUCCAAAGCUGGAAAUGUGUGUGUAUAGCUGUUUUGAAUUGCUGAUUAAUGAAAUUAAGCCUCAAUUAGCGAGACCAAAAAAGUGGUGGGUCUGGCUUUUUUCCUUUUCCUUUUCUUUUUCCCCUCCCACUUGUGAAGGGGAAAUAGUUGCUUUAGAACAAGAAGUGAAGCGGAGGAAGCUCUUUAGUAUUUGGUAAUGCAAUGGCUGGAAGAUCACUAACUAUCAGAUUAACCAGGUGGACACACUGGGUAUCAGCAAUUAUUCUGCUGCUAUGGAGUCAUCAGAUCAGUGGGCAAGGACAAGAACUGCCAGGAAGAACCUUAUUAUUGGUUCAGCAGUCUCUGCUGGAGAGUUGAAACAGGCUUCAUGAAAGAACUGAAGCUUCAGCCUUAAUGCGAAGUGACUAACGCAGGCCUCAUAAUAAAGUUCUUAAAAUAAAUUUUGAAAAUAC